rnacentral:misc_RNA from 1 species
AAUUAAUCUUGUUUGUAAAUUAAAUUAACCUUGGCAUGUAAAAUAAAUAUAAUUUAAUACUUGAUAAUUGUAAAAUAAAUUUGCAUAUUCGAAAUCUUUAUUAGGUUGUGAUUAUUUGGGACUUAUGUGAUAUUAGAAUGAAUUAUACAUGUACAUAAUUAAUUUAGUUUAAUUAUUCUUAGGGUAACUUGAUGAAAAAUUAAUUAAUUAAGUUAAAUAGAAACUUAGGGUUAUUUGAAAUUGAAUUUG